UGCAGAUGAUGAUCACUUUUUGCUGUGAAAAAAAAAGUGAUGACAACCACCAAGAUCGCUGAUGCA
ensembl:snoRNA SNORD24 Small nucleolar RNA SNORD24